rnacentral:tRNA from 1 species
GUCCCUGUAAGGUGCGUUGGACUUCUGAUCCAAUGGUCGUGGGUUCGAAUCCCGCCUGGGAUG